UGAUCCCUGGCUCAGAACGAACGCUGGCGGCAGGCUUAACACAUGCAAGUCGAGCGCCUCGCAAGAGGAGCGGCAGACGGGUGAGUAACGCGUGGGAAUCUACCCAUCUCUACGGAAUAACGCAUGGAAACGUGUGCUAAUACCGUAUACGCCCUUUGGGGGAAAGAUUUAUCGGAGAUGGAUGAGCCCGCGUUGGAUUAGCUAGUUGGUGGGGUAAAGGCCUACCAAGGCGACGAUCCAUAGCUGGUCUGAGAGGAUGAUCAGCCACAUUGGGACUGAGACACGGCCCAAACUCCUACGGGAGGCAGCAGUGGGGAAUAUUGGACAAUGGGCGCAAGCCUGAUCCAGCCAUGCCGCGUGAGUGAUGAAGGCCUUAGGGUUGUAAAGCUCUUUCACCGGAGAAGAUAAUGACGGUAUCCGGAGAAGAAGCCCCGGC
rnacentral:rRNA from 1 species